rnacentral:rRNA from 1 species
GACGAACGCUGGCGGCGUGCUUCAUACAUGCAAGUCGAACGAGAACCGAUAGCUUGCUAUCGGGGAAAGUGGCGGACGGGUGAGUAAUAUGUAGAGAAUCUGCCCUUGAGUGGGGGACAACAGAGGGAAACUUCUGCUAAUACCCCAUAUGAGCUAACCUGAAAUGGUUAUCUUGAAAACUCCGGUGCUCAAGGAUGAGUCUGCAUCUGAUUAGCUAGUUGGCGGUGUAAUGGACCACCAAGGCGACGAUCAGUAGCCGGACUGAGAGGUUGAACGGCCACAUUGGGACUGAGAUACGGCCCAG